CCCCCCCCAGUACAAUUUUAGAGAGAUCCAUACACUUACACACAAGUUAUUGUCUGGAAACUAGAAAAAAUGCAAUGAAGUUUAUUAAACUAAAGUUAUUGGCAAAUUUCCAAUGAAAUUUAUUAAAAAUAAAGUUUUUGGCAAAUUUCCAAUGAAGUUCAUUAAACUAAAGUUAUUGGCAAAUUUCCAAUGGAAUUUAUUAAUAAUAAAGUUUUUGGCAAAUUUCCAAUAUACAUAAUUUAAAAGCAGUUUAGGUGAGAUAAACAAAAAAGCUCCAUCAGCAACAUUUUAUAUUGGCAAAUUUCCAAUGAAGUUCAUUAAACUAAAGUACUUGGCAAAUUUCCAAUGGAAUUUAUUAAUAAUAAAGUUUUUGGCAAAUUUCCAAUAUACAUAAUUUAAAAGCAGUUUAGGUGAGAUAAACAAAAAAGCUCCAUCAGCAACAUUUUAUAUUGGCAAAUUUCCAAUGAAGUUCAUUAAACUAAAGUACUUGGCAAAUUUCCAAUGGAAUUUAUUAAUAAUAAAGUUUUUGGCAAAUUUCCAAUAUACAUAAUUUAAAAGCAGUUUAGGUGAGAUAUUCAAAUGAGUUUCAAUUACCAACCUUACACUGCCUUUUAAAUUAUGUUUUGUACUUAAGUAAUUGUCCAUUAACCUGGAAACCCUUUUCCCCCCUUUUUUGCACCUUAUUCCUUAACGGUUUGAGCCAUAACUCCCAAAGACAAUUCUUACCAUCCCUUUGUGGUAUUCCAAUAUCCAAAAUCUAAAUCCAUGGUUAGAUUCAGCAUAUCAAAGAAC